CUGUUGGAAUAGCAACCUUUAAGUUUGGGGUAGCUUUGCAGUACGUGAAUAGUAAGUGAAUGUCGUAUAAAAGAAAAAAAAAGAGAAAAAAGAAAAAAAACAACAACAUGAAAAGAAAGAAAGAGAAAAGCGAAAAACAAUAAAAGAACAGCUUUUGAAAGAUGCUACAUUCACUAUAUAUAAAAGGAAAAGAGGAUUGCAUAACCCUACAGGAAUAAUAGAAAAGAAACGUAGUGAGAGAAUGAUUUCAUG
rnacentral:lncRNA from 1 species